rnacentral:rRNA from 1 species
UACAGAGGUCUCAAGCGUUGUUCGGAUUCAUUGGGCGUAAAGGGUGCGUAGGCGGCGCGGUAAGUCGGGUGUGAAAUCUCGGAGCUUAACUCCGAAACUGCAUUCGAUACUGCGGUGCUUGAGGACUGGAGAGGAGACUGGAAUUCAUGGUGUAGCAGUGAAAUGACGUAGAGAUCAUGAGGAAGACCAGUGGCGAAGGCGGGUCUCUGGACAGUUCCUGACACUGAGACACGAAGGCCAGGGGAGCAAACGGG